rnacentral:rRNA from 1 species
UGGGGAAUAUUGCACAAUGGGGGAAACCCUGAUGCAGCGACGCCGCGUGAGCGAAGAAGUAUUUCGGUAUGUAAAGCUCUAUCAGCAGGGAAGAAAAUGACGGUACCUGACUAAGAAGCACCGGCUAAAUACGUGCCAGCAGCCGCGGUAAUACGUAUGGUGCAAGCGUUAUCCGGAUUUACUGGGUGUAAAGGGAGCGUAGACGGCUGUGUAAGUCAGAUGUGAAAUCUAUGGGCUCAACCCAUAGCCUGCAUUUGAAACUGCAGAGCUUGAGUGAAGUAGAGGCAGGCGGAAUUCCCCGUGUAGCGGUGAAAUGCGUAGAGAUGGGGAGGAACACCAGUGGCGAAGGCGGCCUGCUGGGCUUUAACUGACGCUGAGGCACGAAAGCGUGGGUAGCAAACAGGAUUAGAUACCCUGGUAGUCCACGCUGUAAACGAUGAUUACUAGGUGUGGGGGGUCUGACCCCUUCCGUGCCGGAGUUAACACAAUAAGUAAUCCACCUGGGGAGUACGGCCGCAAGGUUGAAACUCAAAGGAAUUGACGGGGGCCCGCACAAGCAGUGGAGUAUGUGGUUUAAUUCGAAGCAACGCGAAGAACCUUACCAGGUCUUGACAUCCUACUAACGAGAUAGAGAUAUGUUAGGUGCCCUUCGGGGAAAGUAGAGACAGGUGGUGCAUGGUUGUCGUCAGCUCGUGUCGUGAGAUGUUGGGUUAAGUCCCGCAACGAGCGCAACCCUUGCUAUUAGUUGCUACGCAAGAGCACUCUAAUAGGACUGCCGUUGACAAAACGGAGGAAGGUGGGGACGACGUCAAAUCAUCAUGCCCCUUAUGGCCUGGGCUACACACGUACUACAAUGGCGUCUACAAAGAGCGGCAAGCCUGUGAAGGCAAGCGAAUCUCAUAAAGGGCGUCUCAGUUCGGAUUGAAGUCUGCAACCCGACUUCAUGAAGCUGGAAUCGCUAGUAAUCGCGAAUCAGCAUGUCGCGGUGAAUACGUUCUC